UACGUAGGGUGCGAGCGUUGUCCGGAAUUAUUGGGCGUAAAGAGCUUGUAGGCGGUUUGUCGCGUCUUCUGUGAAAAUCCGGGGCUCAACCCCGGACUUGCAGUGGGUACGGGCAGACUAGAGUGCGGUAGGGGGAGAUUGGAAUUCCUGGUGUAGCGGUGGAAUGCGCAGAUAUCAGGAGGAACACCAAUGGCGAAGGCAGAUCUCUGGGCCGUAACUGACGCUGAGGAGCGAAAGCAUGGGGGAGCGAACAGG
rnacentral:rRNA from 1 species